CCUGGUGCCUCUUCCGGCCAGGUCCCACCUGAUCCCAUCCCGAACUCAGAAGUGAAACUGGUCUGGGCCGAUGAUACUCCGGUGCAUGCCGGGGGGAAAGUAGGUCGGUGCCAGGU
rnacentral:rRNA from 1 species